rnacentral:rRNA from 1 species
GUAGGGGGCAAGCGUUAUCCGGAUUUACUGGGUGUAAAGCGCACGCAGGCGGUCUGUCAAGUCGGAUGUGAAAUCCCCGGGCUCAACCUGGGAACUGCAUUCGAAACUGGCAGGCUAGAGUCUUGUAGAGGGGGGUAGAAUUCCAGGUGUAGCGGUGAAAUGCGUAGAGAUCUGGAGGAAUACCGGUGGCGAAGGCGGCCCCCUGGACAAAGACUGACGCUCAGGUGCGAAAGCGUGGGGAGCAAACAGGAUUAGAUACCCUGGUAGUCCACGCCGUAAACGAUGUCGAUUUGGAGGUUGUGCCCUUGAGGCGUGGCU